UACGUAGGGGGCUAGCGUUGUCCGGAUUUAUUGGGCGUAAAGAGCGUGUAGGCGGCCCGGUAAGUCCGCUGUGAAAGUCGGGGGCUCAACCCUCGAAUGCCGGUGGAUACUGUCGGGCUAGAGUGCGGAAGAGGCGAGUGGAAUUCCUGGUGUAGCGGUGAAAUGCGCAGAUAUCAGGAGGAACACCGAUUGCGAAGGCAGCUCGCUGGGACGUUACUGACGCUGAGACGCGAAAGCGUGGGGAGCAAACAGG
rnacentral:rRNA from 1 species